ensembl:snRNA U6 U6 spliceosomal RNA
GUGCUCACUUUGGCAGCACGUAUACUAAAACUGGAACAAUACAGAGGAGAUUAACCUGCCCCUUGCAUAAGGAUGACAUGCAAAUCUGUGAAGCAUUCCAUAUUUUU